rnacentral:sRNA from 1 species
GUGGUGGCAAAUUAUUUCUAAAACAUCAGGUCAUAGAAUCUGUUACCUAAUCUAUCGCUUAUGUUUGCUGAACAGAAUAUUAGAAACUGAGUCACACUUACCUCCAGACUGCUAAUUCUAAUUUCAACUCUAUCUCCCAGACCCCUGACAUAUGGUACUCAAAUUACCAGCUGCAUUCCAGAGUCAACACAUAGACAGUUUGCUUACCAGGAUCUAAGAGGCAGAAGUAUAAGAACUUGCCAGUGAGUUCUCUGCCUGAAGAGAAAGGUAAGUUUCUUUCUGUGGGUUAGAUAUAUAGUGACAGAGUCUGGAAAAGAACAAAAAUUGCUAAGGAGCAGAGCCCUGGGCAAAAUGGACCAGGAUUUAUGGCUCAUCUUCCUGAAUCACAAUUGCACAGCCAAGAUUUGGGUCAUUUUAUUGUUUCUAAAGCUGUAGUGGUCAGUCUUCAAGAUGACUCCAAAUGUCCCCUAGCCCACAGCACACACAGCUUUGUGGAGUCAUUCAACUUCUACACUGUCUCAGGGAUGGUUUGUAUAGCCCUGCAUAAAGAAGUGUUCAUAUGGGACCUGAGGCUAGGUCACAAAAGAUGUUGGUUACUGCUUUGCUGUCUUUCUUGGCUCUUGUUUUGAAGGAAGCCAUUGUCUUGUCACAAAGACAUGCAGGUGGCCAGUGAGAGAGGCCAACCUAGGAAGACUGGAGGAACUCAGUUAACCAUCAGCAAGGAGUGAAGACGGGCCAGAAUCUCCAGGGACUUUAGAAGAGCUGAGAGAUGGCUGAAAUCUGCCAAGAACAUGACUGCUGUGAAAAGUUGGGAUAAAGAUGAUCCGCAUGCUACGACAGCCUUCUAGCCAGCCAGCCUUUCUAGAGGUUAGUCCAUCAUCCUCAGAACAGAGCAUGUUGGAGUGAAGGAAGAUAUGCUGACUGAGAGUUCUAACUUGGGAUCUGAAGGCAGCAGGAAGAGAGAGACCCUGGGCUUGACUUGAGCUUCUGAUGCCCCAAAGCCUACCACCAUUGACACACUUCUCCCAGUAAGGCCACACCUCCUAAUUCCUCUCAAGUAGCACCACUCCCUAAUGAUCAAGCUUUCAAAUAUAUGAGCCUAAAAGUCUUAUUCUUCUUCAAACCACCACAUUUCAUUCCCUGACCACCAUAGACUAGUAUCCAUGUGAUAAUGAAAAAUGUGUUUAGUUCAACUUUAAA